rnacentral:lncRNA from 10 species
AUCCACUUUCUCAGGCAGGGACUAUAGGAAAUGAAGGUGAACUCGUGGAGAUUUUGGAGAGAAUUUAAUGAAGAGGCUGUUUACCAAGGAUCUCUCUCUGUCUCCGAGGCUGGAGUGCAAUGUUGCAAUCAGGGCUCACUGCAGCCUCGACCUCCUGGGCUCAACUGAUCUUCGUACCACAGCCUCAUGAGUAACUGGGACUACAGACGACCAUGGGCAUUUUUUCUAUGCAACUACAGAUAGUAUCUCAUGAUAUGAAUGGUCCUGGAUUUACUUACACAUCCUCCUUUGGAUGAGCAAAAAGUAAAUUUUUCACAGUGAUAGACAUUUGUAGUGCUUUUUAAAGGCACUGGUUCUGGUGGACACUGAGAGACAAUUUUUAUUUGCUGCACGUGGAAAGGACAACAACAUACCUGGACAGAAAUGCCUCGAGGAUGUACUGAAGGCCCCUCUCACUUUUCACAGCCAUAACUGUAAGUUUCCUGGGGCCUCUCCAGAAGACAAGCAGAUGCCGCUAUGCUUCCUGAACAGCCCACAGAACUCUCCCAGUUGUGGGCAGAGUCUGGUUAAGGUACAGCCUUGGAAUUAU